GACGAACGCUGGCGGCGUGCCUAAUACAUGCAAGUCGAACGAGAGCAACCGGUGCUUGCACUGGUCAAUCUAGUGGCGAACGGGUGAGUAACACGUGGGUAACCUGCCCAUCAGAGGGGGAUAACAUCCGGAAACGGAUGCUAAAACCGCAUAGGUCUUCGAACCGCAUGGUUUGAAGAGGAAAAGAGGCGCAAGCUUCUGCUGAUGGAUGGACCCGCGGUGCAUUAGCUGGUUGGUGAGGUAACGGCUCACCAAGGCCGUGAUGCAUAGCCGACCUGAGAGGGUGAUCGGCCACAUUGGGACUGAGACACGGCCCAAACUCCUACGGGAGGCAGCAGUAGGGAAUCUUCCGCAAUGGACGCAAGUCUGACGGAGCAACGCCGCGUGAGUGAAGAAGGUUUUCGGAUCGUAAAACUCUGUUGUUAGAGAAGAACAAGUGCUAGAGUAACUGUUAGCGCCUUGACGGUAGCUAACCAGAAAGCCACGGCUAACUACGUG
rnacentral:rRNA from 1 species